GGGGCUGCGGAGCCGCCCUCCUGACCCUGGAGCACAGCUACGAGGAUGCGGGUGGCAGCGACAGCGAGGGUGGCCCGGCGGGUGGCCCAUCCAUCAGGCUGGCGCGGCGCCGGACCAGAUGGAGCCGAGCCCCUGGGGAGGGGAGAGGAGGAAGAGAUCCAUCACCCAACGGUCAGCCCGCAGGGGAGCGAUGGUGACAGCACAGGGCUCUCGUGUGGCCUCAAGAUGCAGCCAGGACCAAAGCGGGAGCUGCUGCCGUGAACUGGGACUGGUGCUGGCUCAGAACCUGAUGACCCUGUGGUGGGCUGGGAACUGAAUCGAUCCUGCGGAAGAGGAAUGUGGAGCUCGAAAGGCCAAGCCCUCUCCUCCGAACAGCACUGUCCCCCACCAGCCCUGCGGUGCCACCCCCGGUCCUCGUGGGGCCCUCCCUCUGCCCUGCUCCCCAACCCAGAGGGGAUGGGGCCUGGACCCCUGUCUGCCCUGCAUCCUCCUC